CUGAAGGUCCUCCAGGCCUGAAAUGAAGACAGAGAUUCAGCAGUGAUCACAGGACUCCAGGAGCUGCUGCUUUAAAAGGAAAACCAGCUUUAAAAGGAAAAUGAGGAUUUGGAGAUAAGCUUCCAAAUAAAGGCAGUGUUUUCAACCACUUCAUCUUAUCAACCAGCAUCCAACUACCAUCCACCCAGUGGGGCUUGGAAGAUGCUCCAAGGGAAAAGGAGACCCAAAUGCCCAGACCUCUCCUCUAAGAUGCAAACCAGCCCCACAGCCUACAGCAUGGCUCCAGAGGGCACCAGCGGCUCUAAGUUAUUAUUUCUACCUUUAAUGGCCCCUGUCCAGGGACAGCAGUGGUAAUGCAACCACAUGCAUGAAUACAACCCAAGGACCAGCUCAAUGCACGUGGAUUUUACUCCUAGUUCUGCCGCUGGCCUGGCGAUGACCUUCAGCAAGUUGUUUCCCUACCCUGUGCCUGUGUUUCCACUUGCUCUCCCACCACCAGCCCUUUCUAAACCCAGUGAUGGUCUGCCCGGCGAGAUACUCCCCAGCCUGAGAAGACUCCAUCCGACUUCACAUCACACCCCCCACAAAAGGUGUGCAAACAGCAGCAGCUCUGAGCAUCAGUGGGUCCUGCAUCCUCCAAGUGCUCUCCAGAGCCCCCGCUGCCAAGUCCCCUUCCCUGCCGAGCUCCCUCCCUGCUGGGCCAUUCUGUGGCUUGUUUUUAGGGCGUGCGUGCAAAGGCCUGAAUAUACGAACCAGCUGCUGGUGGCUUCCAGACCCCAAGCUGCUCUGGGGAAAAUCAGCUCCUUGCAGGAGCUUUACCAUGGGGGUGUCCCCUGGGAUAGGGCUGGAAAGUCUCGCUCUCUUCCUCCAAGUCUUGGGGACCAUGGCAGGGGAAGAAGUCCUCCGAGGAGAAGCAGGUGGGAGUAACACCAAUGGUGGCAGCAAACUUGCCACCCUAAGCAUCCAGUUGCUUGGAGGCAGCAAACCAACCCAAACACCCCAGAUAAGCCCUACGACUGUUGCCCAGUGAGCCCCUGUUAAAGUUCUGGCCUAUCAGAGACCAUUAAUGGCAGCGGAGGAGCACUUCUACCUGGAUGGAACGGAGAGGAACACAAAUAGCAGCCACUCCUACCCCUUGCUGGCACGAUCUCGGUGCAUGGGAGGCAGAUGCUGACCCAGGGUGUGGGCAGGGAAGGCAGGAGGCGAUGCGUGAGAGCCUGGGCACAGUGCCCCUCUCACGCUGCAGCCCUGCUGAGCUCCCUCCCUACACACAGCAGAAGGUAGAGGGUGCUGGGUGGUGGCUGGGGGGCAGUGUGGCAGGCAUGUACCCCUCCCCAUCCCAAGGGAGGAUGGUGGUGGUGCAGCCUUGCAGUAAAUCCAGCCCUGGGAGCAUUGCAGGAACCUGUGACCAGGGACAGCAGGGGCAACCGUGUCCCAUGUUAAGUGCCUCCAGUGCAGAGCAGAUGAUUAGAAAAGCCUGGCUCCCAGAAACCUUCACUGCCAGCCCCGUUGCCAGAACAUGCACAGAACCCCAAUGCCAAAGCAUGGCCAGGACACCCAGCUCUUUGGGGAAUCAGAUCUGGCCAUAGCACUCACCAUCUACAGAUGCGGGCAACAUGGUGGCUUUAGGGAGCAAGGAUGUCACACCGGGAACUGCUGGGUCCUCUGGCCUCUGUCCUGCACCGGCUGCCUUCCUUGAGCCAGAGCAUGUCUCAAAGAUGAGGUUGUUUCCUGUCCUUUUCCCACAACAAGGUCCCCAACCAUACUGAAAAACCUUGAGUCCUCCAAGCCCUCACUUGUGGACAGUAGAGAUCUGGCUGAUUGCAUGAGGCUGGCUUUUUUCCUCCUUUCCAGCUGUUAAAUUGCAUUAUAGACAGUUAAAAAUACAUCGCAUACUUUC